GCGCCUCACGCCCGGGGGCGGGGCCCAGGCCGGUCGGUGCGGGAGAGGCCGCCAGUACGCACGCGCCAACUCCUAGUCCUUCCACCACCGCCAACCCCACGUCGGUGGGGCUCUUGUGGGGGCGGGGCGGGGCCUCUGUGACGUCACUGCCGCAAUUGAAUCCGCCAGUGGGGUAUGCGAACCUUUAUAGAGUGUGAUUCCCCUCUCAGCUCCACCUCCAGACCACACAGAAGCGGGCCGCUGUGCGCCCAAGCGCAUGGGCAAUCCGUCCCUCUUCCUCAACCCGCGUCUCUUCGCCGCCGUAGAGUCGUCUCCAGCCUCUGCGUCACUAAGAGUUCGGGAUAGGGGGCAGGGCCGAUGGAGAAGUAGGCGGGGCCAAGACCGAGUGAAGGGCUGUGUCCAGGGAGAGGGGAGGAGAGUCUCCAUCCCAAGAGGGAGGAAGCUCCUGUGUGAGCUCGGGUGCUGACUUUUGGAUUUUAACCACGCUAUAGUUAAACUUGAGAAACACAGAAACUUGACUGAAUCAAAUGUAGAUCACAGCCGGGCGCCGUGGCUCAUACCUGUAAUCCCACCACUUUCUUAGGCGAGUCGGGAAGCUCCGUUUAGCCCAGGAGGCCGAGGCAGCAGUGAGGCGGGAUUGUGCCACUGCACGCCAGCCUAGACCACAGAUGGAGAAAAAUGUGGCCGGGCGCGGCGGCUCACGCCUGUAAUUCCAGCACUUUGGGAGGUCGAGGCGGUUGGAUCUUAAGUCAGGAGUUCGAGAGCAGCCUGGCCAACGUGGUGAAACCCCGUCUCUACUAAAAGUACAAAAAGUAGCCGGGCGUGGUGGCAGGCGCCUGUAAUCCCAGCUACUCGGGAGGCUGAGGCAGGAGAAUCGCUUGAACCCGGGAGGCGGAGGUUGCAGUGAGCCGAGAUCGUGCCAUUGCACUACAGCCUGGGAGAAAAGAGUGAAACUCCAUCUCAAAAGAGGAGAGAAAGGUUUUUGUGUUUGUUUUGAGACGGAGUUUUGCUCUGUUGCCCAGGCUGGAGUGCAGUGGCACGAUCUCGGCUCGCUGCAACCUCCGCCUCCCGGGUUCAAGCGAUUCUUCUGCCUCAGCCUCCCGAGUAGCUGGGAUUACAGGGGCCUGCCAUCACGCCUGGCUAAUUUUUG
rnacentral:lncRNA from 10 species